AGGCGGUGCGUAUCCCAUAAAGCCGAUCGUAGUCCGGAUCGCAGUCUGCAACUCGACUGCAAAAGUCGGAAUCGCGCGUAAUCGCGAAUAAGAAUGUUGCGGGGAAUACGUUUCCGGGCCUCUACGCACCUCCCGUCACACCAUGGGAGUGGGUUGCACCAGAAGUAGCUAGUCUAAACUUGUGGAGUACAGAACCUCGGUG
rnacentral:rRNA from 1 species